AUGGGUCCGAACAGCCCAGGGGAAAGGAACCGGGUCGGGAGGAGCCGAGCCCCACAACUUAGCGCCGGGACGGCCAGGACCGCCCCCGCGGCGCCGCCCCCGCCAGAGCGCCUUCCUGCUGCUGCUACCGCCGUCAGCGCCACCGCCGCCGCCGAGGCUGGGCCGGGGUGCACCCUGGGCGCGGGGACGAACGGAUCCAGCAGGAGUUUCCUCCGAGCGCGCGCCCGCCCGCCGGCCUCUCCCGCCCCCCGGCGCCCCUUCCUCUCCCCUCCCGGACCCGGGCUGCGCGAGGAGGGCGCAGGGGGCGGGCGGCGGCGGCGGCGCGCGGAGGAGGAAAAGGAGCGCAAGGAGAGGAGCGUCCCCGGAGAGAAGCCCGCUCUAGCUGCAGCCGCGAGUCCCCUCCCUCCUUCCCGCCCCGUAAAUGCGGAGAUGGCGGCGGCAGCUGCUAAAGGAAGCGCCGGUUCUCCAGCGCCACUCGGCGCUCCUACACCGCCCACCACGAGCAGGAGGAAACAGCCGCUGCGAAGCGGCUGCUGGGUCAAUAGGCGCCCGCAGCCCCCGAGCCGAACAGGCGACUGGCCCCGCCCCCUCUCGACGCGCCGGAAUAGGGGCGGGGCCUCCGGCGCCCAAUCACAGUGCGCCGCCCAUCGGGCCCGCCCAGCGCCCGCCUCCCUGCGCCCAGGCGGAGAGAAGACCUCAGAGGGCUUUUGUGAGCUGGCAGGCAGCCUGAGUGGAAGUGAGGCCCUCAGAGGCCUUCAGGCGCCAGCAGCCCCGGUUCCACAGGGGCUGAGCUUUCUCCCCACUUCCUUUUUGCUGCCCAGGUUUCCUGUCCUUGAGAACCCGGGCCUGGCGUGCCUGGGACGGCAACUCGGCAUCUCGUGUUUUCUUCUGGCAUCCAUGAAACAGUGACAGGCCCAGACCCUUCGCAGAUCCUGAAACUACUCACCAGCCUAGGAGAAUUAUGCCAUUGUUGGCAUAAUCUUCACCUCCCUAUGCUUUCCCUUCCAUGAAAGGAAGCUGAGAGAGAAGAUGAAUCAAGUAACAUAAUAAACUUCUGAGAAGGUAAGGGAAAGAGAGCUAAAGGAAGAGUGCCUUUUCUUCAUAGUGUUUCUCACUAUUUGAAAUUAUUUAUUGACUUACUUUCUGUCUGUCUCUUCCAGUGGAAUGCAAGCUCCUGGAAGUCAGGGACCUUUUGAUUUAUCACUGUAUCUUAAUGAAUGAAGUCAUGUCUAGCAAUGUCAAGGCUUAAUAAAUUUUCAUUGAAUGAAUUAAUGAUUACUUGGGCCUUGAGCCACUAGUUGGGGUGAAUUGGUAGUACUCAUAAUGGAUUGCUCUGGCUCAUAAUAGAAGUCUAUUUGCUCUUGAAUGGCAUUUAGAGCUAUUCCUCUUGUCUUUGUGAAUCUUUAUGUUCCUCGAAGGGUGUGGUUUUUUUUAUAAGUAUUUUAAAGAGAAUUUCCCCCCAAAUUAUCUUACUAAUCAUCUUAAUUACUAAAGGAAGUCCAAUAUGGGGAUAGAAAGAAAUGAACUCUAUAUAGUAAAUGACCAGUGUAUGAUAGGUGCUUUAUUUGUGCUGUCCCAUUUAAUUCUUUUUUUUUAAUGUUAUGUUAAUCACCAUGCAGUACUUCAUUAGUUUUUGAUGUAAUGUUCCAUGAUUCAUUGUUUGCGUAUAACACCCAGUGCUCAUUGCAAUAUGUGCCCACCUUAAUACCCAUCACUGGGCUAACCCAUCCCCUCCCCCCCUCCCCUAUGAAACCCUCAGUUUGUUUCCUGGAGUCUGUAGUCUUUCAUGGUUCGACUCCCCCUCUGAUUUUCCCGCCUUCAAUUUCCCUUCCUUGUCCUAAUGUCCUCCAUGCUAUUCCUUAUGUUCCACAUAUAACUGAAACCAUAUAAUUGUCUUUCUCUGCUUGACUUAUUUCACUCAGCAUAAUCCCCUCCAGUUCCAUCCAUGUCGAUGCAAAUGGUGCGUGUUCAUCUUUUCUGAUGGCUGAGUAAUAUUCCAUUGUAUAUAUGGACCACAUCUUCUUUAUCCAUUUGUCUGUUGAAGGACAUCUCGGCUCCUUCCACAGCUUGGCUAUUGUGGACAUUGCUGCUAUGAACAUUGGAGCACAUGUACCCCUUCUUUUCACUACGUCUGUAUCUUUGGGGUAAAUAGCGAGUAGUGCAAUUGCUGAGACAUAAGGUAGCUCUAUCUUUGACUUUUUGAGGAAACGCCAUACUGUUUUCCAAAGUGGCUGUACAAGCUUGCAUUCCCACCAACGGUGUAAGAGGGUUCCCCUUCUUCCACAUGCUCUUCAACAUUUGUUGUUUCCUGCCUUGUUAAUUUUUGCCAUUCUAACUGGUGUAAGGUGGAAUCUCAAUGUAGUUUUGAUUUGAAUUUCCCUGAUGGCUAAUGAUGUUGAAUAUUUGUUUUUCUUUUUCAACAUUUCCUUGGCAAUUCGGGGUCUUUUCUGGUUCCAUGCAAAUUUUAGGAUUGUUUGUUCCAGCUCUUUGAAAACUGCCAUUGGUAUUUCGAUAGGGAUAGUAUUGAAAGUAUAGAUUGUUCUGGGCAGCAUAGACAUUUUAACAAUGUUUAUUCUUCCAAUCCAUGAGCAUGGAAUGUUUUCCCAUCUUAUUGUGUCUUCUUCAAUUUCUUUCAUAAGUGUUCUGUAGUUUCUAGAGUAUAGAUCCUUUACCUCUUUGGUUAGGUUUAUUCCUAGAUAUCUUGUGGUUUUUGGUGCUAUUGUAAAUGGAAUCUAGAUUCCCUAAUUUCUCUUUCUACAGUUACAUAAUUAAUGUAUAGAAAUGCAACCGAUUUCCAUGCAUUGAUUUUGUAUCCUGCCACAUUACUGAAUUGCUGUAUGAGUUCUAGUAAUUUGGGGGUGGAGUCUUUUGGGUUUUCUACAUAAGGUAUCAUGUCAUCUGUGAAGAGAGAGAGUUUGACUUCUUCUUUGCCCCUUUGAAUACCUUUUUUUUUCUUUUUGUCAUCUGAUUGCUUAUGCUAGGAUUCAUUUAAUUCUCAAAACUUAAGGUAGUAUAUUAAUAUCCAUUUUAUUUACAAAGGACAUAGAUACAGAGAAGGUAGACAACUUGCUUUCAGGCACAUAGAUACUGAAUGGUAUAGCUUAUCUUUUCUGGCUUCAAACUUCUCUUUUCAAUACUGUACUCUACGGGGUUAUGAUACUUUAUACCUUGUGAGUAGAUUUUCCGACGUAACAUUUAGGAUGCGUAUCAGUCAGGGUUCAGUGUAAACAAAUAGAAACACUUUUAGGUAUUUUUACAAAGGAAGGUAUUUAAUAGAGAGUGCUUACAAACAUGAAUGGUGAGGAUUGGAGAAGUGAGUGAGAGACAGAGCCUCAGUGAUUCCAGUGCAAUACAGAGUUGACCUAUCAGUGGAGCUAUGACUGUUGAGGACUUUUGGAAAACCGAGUUUCAGUAACAUAACCCUACAAUGGCAGGCAGAGCCAGAAAGCUACUGCUGUCUGAACUGCUUACUGUCUUUCAGGGGGCUGAAUAAUGGGCCAUGGAACACUGCUCCAGAAAAAUGUUUCAAUGAGUUUAAUUAUUAGGGAAAUACAGCCAAAAGUGGUCAGGAAGAUGUCCCAACUUCUCUUAUGUUUUCUAAAUCUUGCAUGAAUAUAACUAAUUGCAGACCUAAUUCAUAUCCAUAGCUCUAGGUGCAAAGAAGUCUAGAAACUGUGGUAAGCUUCCAGUUUCUGCAUUAUGAAAGAUGCCAUAAGAGGACGGUGGAAUAGACAUUAAGUGAGCCAACCUGCAGUACUUACCAUGGGCAGUAUUAAGAGAAAUACAGACACAAAUACAGAAAUACAUAUAAGAAAUAUUUACACGGAGAGAAUCAGUGAAGAUGUUUAAAACUGACUCUGUCCAGGAAAACCUAUAACAUGUAAUUAUUUAUUUGAACUCCAAACUCCUGACAUUCAAAUCUUUAUGGCUAUGAUUUAUCUUGGGGAAAAUAUCCAUGCACAUGAUCACUAAGGCCGAUAAUGUAUCUAAAUGUUCACAUAUCAGAGAAGGGAAAUUAUUGUGGUGUAGGAUCAUCACUUUGAUUUCUUUUAUAGUGCUUUGUUUGCUGACACUAUUAUUGGCAUGAUUUUGGGGAAGAGGAGGCUUAUUUCCAGCAAGCCCCAGGUCUUUCUCUGGAUUCUUGUUGGCUCUGGUUUCUCAUAUGCCAACACAGUACUCAAAUAGGAAAGGCUUAACAAUUUAGUACUCCAAAGCUUCAAAGACACUUAACGCAUGCACACAUUUUACAUAGAGGCCCCAGGGAAGCAAAAACAUUUGCCUGGGAUCUCAUGGAGACUGGAUUAGAAGCCAAAUUCUCUGGCUCCCUGUCCAAACCUUUCUUCAUCACAACAAAAUCAAGCCUUGGAUUGUAUUCCUCCUAAACACAGAAUGAUAUUAUGUACAUGAAUGUGUGUGUGUGAGAGAGAGAGGGAGAGACAGACAGAUGCCAUUUCCAUCAAGUUCAAUAACAGGCAAAACAGCUGUAUUUUUCAGGAAACAUACAUACAUGUUAAGCAUGAAGCAAAGUAAGGAAAUGUUAACCAUCAAAGUCUGAUUAGUAGUGGAGAUGGGGAGUUGUUACUAGUAAAAGGCACAUGGGAACUUGUGGGGUGAUGGCAAUUUCUCAGGAGACUCAGUUUUUUAGGACUGAAGCUUUUUUUGUUAAUUUUGAAACACACUGUAAUGUAUUUGACUUUCUUGCCUUCCAUAACACUUUUAGUCCUCCCUGUAUAAUAGAGCCAGGCUAGGUGUUUUCCAUGGAUUAUUUCCUUUAACUCUCACCAGAACACUCUCAUAGAGGCACUGUUAUCAUACCCAUUUCAUAGAUGAGCAAACUGAGAUGCAGCCUUCACUAACCUGUCCACAUCCACAGUUAGGUAGCAGAGCUGGUAUUUGAUUCAUCUGGCUGCAGUUUCAGCUGCUUAACCAUUCUGCUAUGCUAGCUACCAGAAACUGAGUGGCUGAGUAAACUACAGACCUUUUUUUUUAUUAUUAUUUUACAAUCAUAAAAGUUAUAGUUAUGAUGACCA
ensembl:lncRNA